rnacentral:tRNA from 1 species
AAGGAAUUAGUUAAAUUAACAUUAGUAUGUCAUACUAAAAUUAUUAGUCAUUAAUCUAAUAUUUCUUA